rnacentral:lncRNA from 1 species
AUGCAUUUGUUUACAAAUUUUGAACAGCUCUCAAGCAGCUUUUUUCCCCCCGGUAAAUAUGAUUUUAAGAAAUAUUCUCCCGGAAGUCUCAAUUUUGAGAACAUUUCCUCUGGGGAUACAAACAAGAGAAAGGUUACAUUUCUGUGUAGUAAUAUCACCAGGCUUAUGCUGACCACAAAUGCUACUUUUCAAUAAGAAGCUUCUCCUGACUCCAAGCAAGGUAUGUUCUUACUCUGCCUUGGAUUCCUUUGUUUUCCUUUAGUUAUACUAGCACAUUUGGCUGCAGACAGGAAGAGGUUAUGUUCUUGUCUUCCCCAUUAUGUAUUUCUUCCUUAUUCAUCAUUUUUUUCCACCCACAAACUAAAAGUAUUCUUUGCACAGAGUAAGGAACAAUGACAACAAUAAUAAUAACAAAUGAUGAAUUGAAUUGUAUUUCUUAAAAGGAAGCUUGUUUUCCUGUUUUUAUAAAGUUUUAAGAUCCCAAAUAGUUGCCAAAAUUUGAGAACUUGUCUUUGUUGCUCAUCGUAUCAUUUCAUCAUUGUUUAUUUCUUAGCUGAAUGAUCCUUUCCUUCAUCUUCAAAUAGCUUCUCUGUUUCAUAGCACAUGGAAUAUGUAUUAAGCUGUCUACUUUUGUUUGUGUUUGACGUGGCACACUGAUUUGAUUUUCCAGUUCAUAUCGCUAAUAUAGAAAUUAUCCCAUCCAGGCUCAUCCAAUAUAUGUGUGGUCUAUUUUGAUGUUGCUUUGGAAAUAAACAAUGCAUUUACCCUAUUUCUGGUGAGAUU